rnacentral:snoRNA from 14 species
UUCAUUUUUGCUUCUUCCAUAGUCACUAUUAUAAAACUUCGGGUCUUAUUCUCAUAUGCCCCCGCAAGCGAGGGCCUGGUCGAUUAGUGAGACCAGGUGCGACGCGGGGGCUACAGCCCGGCCUCAGCGAGGUCCCCUCGGUAGGUGCCUUCCGCGUCACGGAGCGCCGUGACCGGGGGUAACCCUGGCCGGGCACAGGCCCGUCUGGGUUAGCCCGCCUGAUCAUGCCGUUGGCUUAGAUGAAGGCGGGUGUUACGGGCGGGCUACAGAUUC